ACCUUCCGAUAAUCCGUGCAGAACCGGAACGUGCCGUCCGGUUUGGGAACAAGCAGGCACGGGGAACACCAAGGACUACUGCUGGGAACAGCAAGACCCGUCUCUACCAGCAGGGGUACACGAAGGGGUAUCAGCGAACAGGGGUCGGAAGCGAUCCACUAGGGACAAAAUGUCAGCUUGGGCUGACCGAGGAGCGGGGACCGGAACAGAAGCAGGCGCGGGGACGGGGACUGAGCGAUCAAGAGACUGUCAGGCCAAUUCCCUAACUGUAGACAUCCAGUCCCGGAGGGAUUUCACAAACUUGGACAUAUCCUGCGUAGGGGAGGACGCAUCGGGGGACAACCACUGCUCCUGUAACGCCUUCAGGGGACCUCGAACAGUGUGGCCAAAGAUGAGUUCAGCAUGACUAAACCCGGUCGAUUCUUGUACAGCAUCGCGUAUUGCAAAAAGUAGAAGGGGCACUCCCUCAUCCCACUCUCUCCUUGCAUCUAUACAAAAGGUACAAAGCAUAUUUUUGAACGUUUGAUGGAAUCGUUCCAGUGCCCCUUGGCUCUCAGGGUGAUAGGCGCUGGAGACAGUAUGACGUAUUCCUAGCUCGCGAACAACUUGUGCGAAUAACUUCGACAUGAAGUUCGUGCCUUGGUACGAUUGCACACACUUAGGAAGCCCGAAAGUAGUGAAGAACUUGAUUAACUGCUUAACUAUGACGGGGGUCCGGAGACUACAGACAGGAAUAGCUUCCAGGAAACGAGUGGCGGCACACAUGAGGGUGAACAAAUACAUGUUACCUGAACGAGUUUUUGGCAAUGGACCUACGCAAUCAAUCACCACACACUCAAAAGGUUCGCCAAUAGCCGGUACCGGAUGUAAUGGAACCGGUACAAUAGCUUGGUUCGGUUUACCUACCAGCUGACACACCCGACAGGUUUUACAAUAUUUCUUCACUUCCGAAUUAACACCUGGCCAAGAAAAAUAUGCUAAGAGACGGUUUAAUGUUCUUCUAAUUCCAAGAUGCCCUGAACACGGGUGGUCAUGAGCGAGAGACAACACAUAAUUCCGAUAUAACCCGGGGACUACCACCUGAAAUACAGUAGCCCACUCGAAAGUGGAGGUACGACAAGCUUCUAAGGAGAAAUCCUCCGCCUGUGCCUUGAUCAGAGCGGCCGUAGUGGAAGGGACCUCAGGGGAAACAGCAGGUUUCACGGGGACCAGGGAUUCAAAGUCACAUGUCGAAGGAGGUGUUGGGUCGGACAUAAAUGUCUCAGCCAGAUGAAUGUCGGCGAACUUGCUCUGUUGGGCCCGUGUCAGCACACAAGCCAGGAACACCUGGGGUAGUUCUGCGGCAACAUCAUCUGCGCAGAUCUCCGGUUCUGGGGUAACUUCAGGAAGGGGAACCAUCCUCUUCCCCGCAAUGUCAUUCCCUAGGAUGAAUGUGACCCCUGGAACAGGUAACUGGGUCUGGACCGCAACACGAACAAGUCCAGAGAAGUCAGGAGUACAUAAAUAAACAGUAUGCAAAGGAACCACAGCCACACGCAGAUCGAUACCUUGCACCAAUAUGUUGGUGCCACAGUAAGUGGUACUAUCUAAGGGUAAAAUUCCUUCAAUUAAGAAAGACUGGGCAGCUCCCAUAUCCCGUAGGAUAGUUUCCGGGUGACGUACCUCGUCUUCACCGAGCGACACAGAACCAGGAAACACGAAAGGCUGGAAUGUAGGUUCAACAGUUUGAAUUGCCGGUAACACAUUGUUAACACAAGCAGCGAUCUGCACCUUUCUAGUCGCAGCACAGGUCUCUUUACGUUUAAGAGCGGGACAAACGGAAAUGAUGUGACCCACCUCGUGACAAUAGAAACACUCUCUCUUCUCUACAGGUGGUGAAUAAGAAGCGGACGAAGGAGAGGA